GUCCAAAGACUGAUAUCGCAUUUUUAUCGAAUCCCCAUAAUGAAAGUAUAUGAGGUUUUAAGGAAAUCGGCCAGAACCGUAGUCUACCUGAUGACGCGCACCAACUUCUUCGAUGACUUCGAUAAGACUGUGG
rnacentral:lncRNA from 1 species